rnacentral:rRNA from 1 species
AGAAUCAACGCUGGCGGCGUGCCUAACACAUGCAAGUCGAACGAGAAAGUGGAGCAAUCCAUUAGUAAAGUGGCGCACGGGUGAGUAACACGUGACUAACCUACCCUUGAGUGGGGGGAUAACUUCGGGAAACCGAGGCUAAUACCGCAUAAUACCUACGGGUCAAAGGAGCAAUUCGCUUUAGGAGGGGGUCGCGGUCGAUUAGUUAGUUGGCGGGGUAAUGGCCCACCAAGACUGUGAUCGAUAUCCGGCCUGAGAGGGCGCACGGACACACUGGAACUGAAACACGGUCCAGACUCCUACGGGAGGCAGCAGUGGGGAAUCUUGCGCAAUGGGGGAAACCCUGACGCAGCAACGCCGCGUGGAGGAUGAAGUCCCUUGGGACGUAAACUCCUUUCGAUCGGGACGAUAAUGACUGUACCGGAAGAAGAAGCCCCGGCUAACUUCGCGCCAGCAGCCGC